GGGUAACUUAACAUAGACCAAUUGCAAUAAUCCAUGAAAAUGAUAUAUAUAAGACACAAGAACCUGCCAGAACGACCUUGCAAUCAUUCCAUGCACUAAAUAUAGUUGACCUUGAUGACUGAUCCAUAAGUUGAGGUCAUCCUUGCAAUGCUUUGAUGUAUGAACUCAUAAUAAGCGAAAACUAAAGUAAAAACAAUAUUUUGAACCGUUAAAAUCAAGACAUCAUACCACAUCUCAUCAUUUUUAUAUCAGAACAACAG
rnacentral:lncRNA from 1 species